CGGGUGACGAGCGGCGAACGGCUGAGUAACACGUUGAUACUUGCCCCGUACUCAGGGAUAACUCACUGAAAGGUGAGCUAAUACCGGAUAGUCUCGUAAGAGUAAAGCUUUUGCGGUACGGGAGAGGUCUGCGGCCUAUCAGCUUGUUGGUAAGGUAAUUGCUUACCAAGGCUAUGACGGGUACCUGGUGUGAGAGCAUGACCAGGCAGAAUGGGACUGAGACACGGCCCAUACUCC
rnacentral:rRNA from 1 species